rnacentral:rRNA from 1 species
CUACGGGUGGCUCCAGUGGGGAAUAUUGGAUAAUGGGGGAAACCCUGAUCCAGCAACGCCGCGUGUGUGAAGAAGGCCUGCGGGUUGUAAAGCACUUUCGGUUGGGAGGACUGCUUCUAGCACUAAUAUUGUUGGAAGUUGACGUUACCUUCAGAAGAAGCACCGGCUAACUCCGUGCCAGCAGCCGCGGUAAUACGGAGGGUGCAAGCCUUAAUCGGAAUUACUGGGCGUAAAGCGCGCGUAGGCGGCUAGAUCAGUCGGGUGUGAAAGCCCCGGGCUUAACCUGGGAACUGCAUCCGAUACUGUCUAGCUUGAGUACAGGAGAGGAGAGUGGAAUUCCACAUGUAGCGGUGAAAUGCGUAGAUAUGUGGAGGAACACCAAUGGCGAAGGCAGCUCUCUGGCCUGAUACUGACGCUGAGGUGCGAAAGCGUGGGGAGCAAACAGGAUUAAUACCCUGGUAGUC